rnacentral:rRNA from 1 species
AACGGCCGCGUGAUUUAAGCGCGCGAAGGUAGCAUAAUAAUUUGUUCUUUAAAUGAGGACUUGUAUCAAUGGCAUCACGAGGGCUACACUGUCUCCUCUCCCCAAUCAGUGAAACUAAUCUCCCUGUGAAAAAGCAGGAAUAAAACUAUAAGACGAGAAGACCCCAUGGAGCUUAAAACACAACACUAAUUCUAAUUAUGUUAUCACUACAAUUUUAAAUAUUACGUGCCAGUUUUGGGUUGGGGUGUACCGCGGAGUACAACAAAACCUCCACAACGAAAAGGGUUUAUACCCUCAUACAAGAGACACUUCUCUAAGAAUUAUUUAACAUAACGUUUAAUGACCCGACUAUCGAUCAACGGACCAAGUUACCCUGGGGAUAACAGCGCAAUCCACUUUGAGAGCCCCUAUCGACAAGUGGGCUUACGACCUCGAUGUUGGAUCAGGGUAUCCUAGUGGUGCAGCCGCUACUAAAGGUUUGUUUGUUCAACAAUUAAAACCCUACGUGAUCUGA